rnacentral:rRNA from 1 species
UUGAACGCUGGCGGCAUGCUUUACACAUGCAAGUCGAACGGUAACAGGUCUUCGGAUGCUGACGAGUGGCGAACGGGUGAGUAAUGCAUCGGAACGUGCCCAGUCGUGGGGGAUAACGCAGCGAAAGCUGUGCUAAUACCGCAUACGAUCUAUGGAUGAAAGCAGGGGAUCUUCGGACCUUGUGCGAAUGGAGCGGCCGAUGUCAGAUUAGCUAGUUGGUGGGGUAAAGGCCCACCAAGGCGACGAUCUGUAGCGGGUCUGAGAGGAUGAUCCGCCACACUGGGACUGAGACACGGCCCAGACUCCUACGGGAGGCAGCAGUGGGGAAUUUUGGACAAUGGGCGCAAGCCUGAUCCAGCCAUGCCGCGUGCGGGACGAAGGCCUUCGGGUUGUAAACCGCUUUCAGCCGGAAAGAAAUCGUCAAGGCUAAUAUCCUUGAUGGAUGACGGUACCGGAAGAAGAAGCACCGGCUAACUACGU